CUAUCUUGCCUGUAAACUCCUGGAGACUCCUGUUUGCAGUGAGCUGGAAAAUUGCUUUUAAAAUAAUGUAGGGCCGGAAGGAACUUCGAGAAAUCAUCUAGCUCAUCCCACUGCACUGAGGCAGAAUCAAACCUGCUUAGACCACCUCUGACAGAUGUUUGUCUAACCUGCUCUUCAGCCUCCCCAGUGACCCAGUGACUAGCUAAGGAGAAUCACUGAUGGGUUCCAAAGAGCAUCCUACCCAGCCACCUCCAAAAUCCACAUGACAC